UAGUAACUAUUUCGAAAAUCGACCCUUCGGAGCGUUUUUCUCCGUUAAUAA
rnacentral:tRNA from 1 species